rnacentral:ncRNA from 2 species
UUAAAGGUAAUGAAGGGAAGAGUAGGUUUAAUCUGAAAUUUUAGAGAGCUGGGGUAGGUGAAAGCCAGCAUUGAAGAUUAAUCUGAACAUGGCCCCUAAACUUUACAGUUGAAAUUCAGUAAACUGUAACGGUAGCACCCGUUACCAAGUGCCGGGUUAUAGAGGUAACCUAUGGAGGUUUAAACUGUGAAGUUUAAACGAAUUAGAGUGGUAACACGACAUUCAGACCUUCGUCUCUAUA